rnacentral:lncRNA from 1 species
GCACUAUCUUCUGGUUCUUCUCCUCUUCAACCUCCAUUCUCCCCCUCUCCCUUCUUUUCCUCUCUCUUUCACCCUCCCCCACUCUUUCGUGUCUCUUUCCUCCUCUGAAUAACCAAGCUGUUUUGCUUCCGAAAGUAGAGAGAGAGGGAGAGAGAGAGAGAGAGAGAGAGAGAGAGAGAGAGAGAGAGGAGAGAGAGGCCUUGCUGUGAAUGGAAGACAGGAGGGACUCUGGUACAUCUGGGAGUGGAAACUUGAUGCUUCUGGGCUGUGAUUUGCCAAGGUCUCGCCAAAGGAGCCUGUUUGUGUGCUGUGUGGCCACGUUCUGCUGUGACUGGAUCUUGUCUUCUGCCUGGCUCCUCGAUUUCCGUCCGGCUGGAUUUGGGGACAACACUGCCUGGCGCAGACAGAUCAAAUGACACUUCAAAGAAGCAUAAAAUGAACAGACUAUUCAAACAAAGGUAAUUUACAUUUUUUUAUUUGAUAAAACCUGACUGAUGUACAAAACGAAAAUAGAAUAUUGUUUACUGGAAAACAGGUCUACAAUCUCUCACACAUCUUCUCUUGCAACAGAUAGAAUUCCAGAAACAUCUAAGUUCCUCUGUGUACAGUUAUUUCUCCUGUAGGAGCCUUUGUAUGGAUGUAAUACACACAUAUAUGUAUAUGCAUAGAGCAUGACAUAAAUAAAACCUGCAAUAGCCUAUAAGAAAGAAGCUCCUAUUUAGAGGAAAGGGUAAGAUACUUUUAUUAUAAUGAAAGCCAGUUCACUUCAUCACUUGGACCAUGGACACUAAUGUAAAUAAAAUGGCUUAAAAAAUAAGACAAUAGUAGUAUUGACUGUAGACUACAAUUUGCACAUUUGUAAUUCUUAUAAAUGAAAUAUUUAAAAUGAUUUGGUGUUGGGCCAGUUCCUUAUGCAUUCUGCAUUCAUGUGUAUAGGAUUCAAAGACGUUCCAAAUAUUGAUCAUAAACCAAGUGUAUAUGAAUUAAUUAAAUAGCAUAUUUCUGGCCCAAAUAUGAGGAAAACCAUAACUUUUUACUGUAAAUCAGGAGAGAUUGUUUUAUCCCCAAAUAAACUAGGAUGUUUCAAGUCAUGUUUCAGCAAUUUGGAGACCUACAAACUAUCUGCAAGCAAGCACAACAACCAUACUCUAAUCUACUAGAUAGUAGUGAGAAUUUAGUGCUUGAAUUCAGGCUGCUUGAAUUCAGUAUAUCCUUCUCUAUGCUGAUUUUCAAGUAGAUAUUCUGUAGCUCAGCUAGAUAAUCUUUUAAAAGCAAAAAAAAAA